GGUUAAGCGACUAAGCGUACACGGUGGAUGCCCUGGCAGUCAGAGGCGAUGAAGGACGUGCUAAUCUGCGAAAAGCGUCGGUAAGGUGAUAUGAACCGUUAYARCCGGCGAUGUCCGAAUGGGGAAACCCAGUGUGAUUCGUCACACUAUCGUUAACUGAAUACAUAGGUUAACGAGGCGAACCGGGGGAACUGAAACAUCUAAGUACCCCGAGGAAAAGAAAUCAACCGAGAUUCCCCCAGUAGCGGCGAGCGAACGGGGAGCAGCCCAGAGUCUGAAUCAGCUUGUGUGUUAGUGGAACGGUCUGGAAAGUCCGACGGUACAGGGUGAUAGUCCCGUACACCAAAAUGCACAGGCUGUGAACUCGAAGAGUAGGGCGGGACACGUGGUAUCCUGUCUGAAUAUGGGGGGACCAUCCUCCAAGGCUAAAUACUCCUGAC
rnacentral:rRNA from 1 species